AUUGAACGCUGGCGGCAUGCUUUACACAUGCAAGUCGAACGGUAACAGGCCGCAAGGUGCUGACGAGUGGCGAACGGGUGAGUAAUGCAUCGGAACGUGCCCAGUCGUGGGGGAUAACGCAGCGAAAGCUGCGCUAAUACCGCAUACGAUCUAUGGAUGAAAGCGGGGGACCGUAAGGCCUCGCGCGAUUGGAGCGGCCGAUGUCAGAUUAGGUAGUUGGGUGGGUAAAGGCUCACCAAGCCAACGAUCUGUAGCUGGUCUGAGAGGGCGACCAGCCACACUGGAACUGAGACACGGCCCAGACUCCGACGGGAGGCAGCAGUGGUGAAUUUUGGACAAUGGGCGCAAGCCUGAUCCAGCAAUGCCGCGUGCAGGAAGAAGGCCUUCGGGUUGUAAACUGCUUUUGUACGGAACGAAACGGCUCUGGUUAAUACCUGGGGCUAAUGACGGUACCGUAAGAAUAAGCACCGGCUAACUACGUGCCAGCCGCCGCCGUAAGAC
rnacentral:rRNA from 1 species